rnacentral:rRNA from 1 species
AUGAGCAGAUUUUGGACUUGCUCAAUCCAAAUGCAACAAAUUUACAGGGUUCUUUUGUGUGUGCAGGACAAUCCCAACGAUUGUCCAUUCAUUUCAUCCGUCGUGUACAUCUUGGAGAACGGAAGCGCCAAACUUCAUGUGCCGAACCAACCGGUAUAUUCUGCACCUACGAAUAGCAAAGUAGAGCAUGCAACAGGCAAUACUCAAAAUUCAAAGAAUAUGCUAACUUACAGUUCUAGAGUGAAGAUAGGUCAGUUAUCACAUUACAAGAUAUUUUGUAAAGGGGCGCUCAGAUCAGAUAGAUGCAAAGGUGGUUGGUUAUGA